GCCAGUGUGGCAUAGUGGUUUGAGGUUUGGACUGUGACUCUGGAGACCAGGCUUCAAAUCCUGGCUUAGCCA